rnacentral:rRNA from 1 species
CAAGGAAUAUUGGUCAAUGGACGCAAGUCUGAACCAGCCAUGCCGCGUGAAGGAUGAAGGUCCUCUGGAUUGUAAACUUCUUUUAUCUGGGACGAAAACGGGAUUUUUAUCUCAAUUGACGGUACCAGAGGAAUAAGCACCGGCUAACUCCGUGCCAGCAGCCGCGGUAAUACGGAGGGUGCGAGCGUUAUCCGGAUUUACUGGGUUUAAAGGGUGCGUAGGUGGGCUUAUAAGUCAGUGGUGAAAUCUCCGAGCUUAACUUGGAAACUGCCGUUGAUACUAUAGGUCUUGAAUUAUCUGGAGGUAAGCGGAAUAUGUCAUGUAGCGGUGAAAUGCUUAGAUAUGACAUAGAACACCAAUUGCGAAGGCAGCUUACUACAUAUAAAUUGACGCUGAGGCACGAAAGCGUGGGGAUCAAACA